rnacentral:rRNA from 1 species
UGAGGAAUAUUGGUCAAUGGGCGAGAGCCUGAACCAGCCAAGUCGCGUGAAGGAAGAAGGUUCUAUGGAUUGUAAACUUCUUUUGUAAGGGAAUAAAAAGAGUUACGUGUAACUUAUUGUAUGUACUUUACGAAUAAGGAUCGGCUAACUCCGUGCCAGCAGCCGCGGUAAUACGGAGGGUGCGAGCGUUAAUCGGAUUUACUGGGCGUAAAGGGUGCGUAGGCGGUGAUAUAAGUUAAGUGUGAAAGUCCUGGGCUUAACCUGGGGAAGUCACUUAAGACUGUAUAACUAGAGUAUGGGAGAGGGUAGUGGAAUUUCCGGUGUAGCGGUGAAAUGCGUAGAGAUCGAAAGGAACACCAGUGGCGAAGGCGGCUACCUGGCCCAAUACUGACGCUGAGGCACGAAAGCGUGGGGAGCAAACAGG